GGCCAUAUCACAUUGAAACACUGGAUCCUAAUCAACACCAAAGUUAAGCAAUGUCGAACCUGGUCAGUACUUAGAUGGGUGAGCGCAUGGGAAUACCAGGUGCU